rnacentral:misc_RNA from 1 species
UCUCCGUUGGUGAACCAGCGGAGGGAUCAUUACAGAGUUUUCACAACUCCCAACCCUUGCGAACCGUACCCGUUCUGUUCUCGUUGCUUCCGGCGGGGGGGCCGGGGGGACCCGAAACGGCCUCCCCGCCCCGCCCGCCGGGGGCGGCGGGCCCUACGAACCUUUAUAUCUCAACCGCCAGAGACCGUCUGAGAAAACAAACAAAAUAAUCAAAACUUUCAACAACGGAUCUCUUGGCUCUG